ACGAUCAAUUCAGGGACACCCCCUGGCAUUGGGGGGUUUAGUCUCUCAUAUUAUUCAAAUAAGAUACAAAAUAAAAUUUAUACAUUACAAAAGUACGAGAAUUCCGUUGAUCUUCAAUCGCAUCCGCUCUUGAAGGACCUCCGUUCUUCGCCACUCUUGCUCGCUUCAAUCUUAAUCGUACCCAAUUUGUGAUCUUCAAAAGCCCUUUCCUCCGUAUUCAAAGAUCCCCUAAAU
rnacentral:lncRNA from 1 species